AGCUUUGGCGGCCUUUCGGGUUUGUCAUUUUUGGGUCCAGCUUUUGACCAGCAAACGCAGGGGCGGUGUGCCGGAAAGUGCAAGAAUAAGAAAGAAAGAUUUAACACCGGCUGAGUGACUCCUCCUCAAACACACAGUGACCGAAAACCACAUUUUUCCAAGUGCUGCAGGCAGUGAGACACCUUUAGUGGCAACUGGCACAGGUAACAGCGUCCCCCGACACCCGUGAGCGGGA